rnacentral:rRNA from 1 species
UACGGGGGGGGCAAGCGUUGUUCGGAAUUACUGGGCGUAAAGGGCUCGUAGGUGGCCAACUAAGUCAGACGUGAAAUCCCUCGGCUUAACCGGGGAACUGCGUCUGAUACUGGAUGGCUUGAGUUCGGGAGAGGGAUGCGGAAUUCCAGGUGUAGCGGUGAAAUGCGUAGAGAUGCGGAGGAACACCGAUGGCGAAGGCAGCCCCCUGGGCUGACACUGAUGCUCAGGCACGAAAGCGUGGGGAGCAAACAGG